GCGGCGUGCCUAAUACAUGCAAGUCGAGCGAACAGACGAGGAGCUUACUCCUCUGACGUUAGCGGCGGACGGGUGAGUAACACGUGGAUAACCUACCUAUAAGACUGGGAUAACUUCGGGAAACCGGAGCUAAUACCAGAUAACAUGUUGAACCGCAUGGUUCAACAGUGAAAGACGGUCUUGCUGUCACUUAUAGAUGGAUCCGCGUCGCAUUAGCUAGUUGGUAAGGUAACGGCUUACCAAGGCAACGAUGCGUAGCCGACCUGAGAGGGUGAUCGGCCACACUGGAACUGAGACACGGUCCAGACUCCUACGGGAGGCAGCAGUAGGGAAUCUUCCGCAAUGGGCGAAAGCCUGACGGAGCAACGCCGCGUGAGUGAAGAAGGUCUUCGGAUCGUAAAACUCUGUUAUUAGGGAAGAACAAAUGUGUAAGUAACUAUGCACGUCUUGACGGUACCUAAUCAGAAAGCCACGGCUAACUACGUGCCAGCAGCCGCGGUAAUACGUAGGUGGCAAGCGUUAUCCGGAAUUAUUGGGCGUAAAGCGCGCGUAGGCGGUUUUUUAAGUCUGAUGUGAAAGCCCACGGCUCAACCGUGGAGGGUCAUUGGAAACUGGAAAACUUGAGUGCAGAAGAGGAAAGUGGAAUUCCAUGUGUAGCGGUGAAAUGCGCAGAGAUAUGGAGGAACACCAGUGGCGAAGGCGACUUUCUGGUCUGUAACUGACGCUGAUGUGCGAAAGCGUGGGGAUCAAACAGGAUUAGAUACCCUGGUAGUCCACGCCGUAAACGAUGAGUGCUAAGUGUUAGGGGGUUUCCGCCCCUUAGUGCUGCAGCUAACGCAUUAAGCACUCCGCCUGGGGAGUACGACCGCAAGGUUGAAACUCAAAGGAAUUGACGGGGACCCGCACAAGCGGUGGAGCAUGUGGUUUAAUUCGAAGCAACGCGAAGAACCUUACCAAAUCUUGACAUCCUCUGACCCCUCUAGAGAUAGAGUUUUCCCCUUCGGGGGACAGAGUGACAGGUGGUGCAUGGUUGUCGUCAGCUCGUGUCGUGAGAUGUUGGGUUAAGUCCCGCAACGAGCGCAACCCUUAAGCUUAGUUGCCAUCAUUAAGUUGGGCACUCUAAGUUGACUGCCGGUGACAAACCGGAGGAAGGUGGGGAUGACGUCAAAUCAUCAUGCCCCUUAUGAUUUGGGCUACACACGUGCUACAAUGGACAAUACAAAGGGUAGCGAAACCGCGAGGUCAAGCAAAUCCCAUAAAGUUGUUCUCAGUUCGGAUUGUAGUCUGCAACUCGACUACAUGAAGCUGGAAUCGCUAGUAAUCGUAGAUCAGCAUGCUACGGUGAAUACGUUCCCGGGUCUUGUACACACCGCCCGUCACACCACGAGAGUUUGUAACACCCGAAGCCGGUGGAGUAACCUUUUGGAGCUAGCCGUCGAAGGUGGGACAAAUGAUUGGGGUG
rnacentral:rRNA from 1 species